rnacentral:tRNA from 1 species
GCUGUCGUGGCGUAGUGGCUCUAACGCGUGAGUCUAAACGCGACGUUUGUGGGUUCGAUUCCCACUCGGAGGA